AAGUUUUGGGGAAUCAUCCAAUAUACCACCAUAUAUUCCAGAUUCAGGUUUCCACGUCAUUCUCUUCUAAAAGAAAUCAAGGCUCCAUGGACAGUGUCUAUAUCAUGGACUUCUUGUUGCCUUCAGAAAGUAAGGCCUUCAUUGGAAGAAAAUGCAAUAGAACUAAGACAAGAAAGUUAGCUAAAGAAAAGGUUCUGGUAGCCAAAUAAUUAAAAGGGAACAUCCUUCUGUAUCAGAAAUUCCCAUGUUUCCAUAUCCAGAUUUCUUCACCAAGGCAGAUAAAGAGUUGGCAAAAAUCAUUGACCAUCACACAGAAGCAACAUGCUGUGCAAAAUUAUACAUCAUGUUACAGCAGCUGAGAAGUCAACAUAUAUCACUAUCAAUGCUGCCUCUGUAAGGCACUCACAAGAGAAUAUUUCAAUUACUCUCUUGGCCACUCCUCAUCACCCAUCAUACGAUCCUAUCUACUUUAUCAUUUUCCUUAGUGCCCAUAAAAAGACAUGCUGAAGGUGUAAAGAGAAUGCAAGAGAGAUCAAUAGCCUCUGAUGUGUUGGACUCAGCUCAGAUUUUCUCAUGCAAAAGAUCUGAUUUUCAGCUGGACUGCAACACCAUGCCAAGAUUAAACUUUCCACUCCUUAACUCACCCACAUGUGUUCAUGUCUUCAAUCCUCUUGGCACUAGAUGAUGAACCCUGGGUAUUUACCCCAGACAGUGAUGCCACUUCACAAGGAAACAGAUGUUAAAGCUCUUCUCAGAGAAUGUUCCAAGAGUAAAGCUGGUGAUGGAUAGCCAAACAUUAAUCAGCGAAAAGGAGUUUGACCUAUAGAGCCAAGGAAAAGUUGGACAAAGAACAUGAAAAGGACAAGAUGCAAAUCCAAUCCAGUGAAUGGGAGCUCAAUGAGAAUCUUAAAAUGACCACACUUCUGUGUCCUACAGGCCUGGAGAUCUGGGAGCAAAACAGAAAGUACCAGACAACUGAGAGGAGAGAGAGUGCUAUAAUAAAGUAUAAAGUGAGAGGCAUGCAACUCUCCUUUCAAGUGGAAUUUAUUCCUUCCUUCACCCUCUUGCAUAUGAGCUGGCCUAGGACUCCUUUGACCAUUAAAUUCAGUGGAAAUGCUAUCGUGCCAGUUUGGGGCCUAGACUUUAACAAAACUAGCAGUUUCUGCUUUCUUCCUCUUGGAAUCCAGUCCCUGUGCUGUGAGGAAGCCCAAACAACCACAUGGAAAAGUCCAUAGGAAGAAGAAUCAAGGCCUGUAGACAGCAGCCCCAACUGAGCUACUAGCUGGCAGCCAUCAACAAUUUGUUUGCCACUGAAGACAAGAACUUGAUGAUUCAUAAAGCUUUGUGAAGUGUGGUUACUGCAAGACUUGGAGUAGUUUGAAAGAAACUUGUGACUUCUAAAAGCGGCUGAGAGAAAGGAGGAAAUAGCUAAUGCAACAAACCUUCCUCUCACAAAAGGAAGCCAUUUACAUAACUCUGAGCUUCUGAAGGAAGACACAAAGUGAGAUGAAUGAAUUUAAAAUUUCCUCAACUUGCUGUCAAGCAAGGAGCUGUAAGCAAAGCCAAGGAUCUUAGUUUUCAUUCCUGUUUAUACUUCUGGCUUAUUAAAACAUCCAUGAGCAACCA
rnacentral:sRNA from 1 species